CACGUCAUACUUGAAAUAACACGACAUAAAAAGAAGGAAUACGAACGCUUGACGACAACGCAAUUACCCUUGAGGAAACAAACGUCUUCCGGCACUCUGACAGGUAAGCCACGGAAAUUACCCCACUGCCCUGUUACGUCACCCGGCAAGAGGCCAUUUGCCUUUCCGCCAUGAAAAAGCCCACCAGCCAAGUCAAGUGGUCCGGCUCCAGAUCAUGACGUCACCAGUUGAGACGUAAACAGCUCCUCGCGGAACAGGAAUCGCGUACAUUAAAUAUGGACGAUCCCGAGUUGCUCGGUGCAGGAAGUGCCUCCAGGCUCCGAAAAACCUUGAAAUCUCUUUCUACGAACUAUCCGUCGAACAUAGUGCCUGACUCAGCUAUGCACAAAAGCACGCAUCUAUUAAUGGACACUGUUUAAGAGCCUAUAUAGAAAGAACAAAACGCGAAGUCGUGUACCGUAUGCAAGCAAUAAUAACACUCCAUGGGCGAGCUGAGAAUGUU